rnacentral:rRNA from 15 species
GAGCUGGGUUCAGAACGUCGUGAGACAGUUCGGUCCCUAUCUGCCGUGGGUGUUGGAGUAUUGAGAGGAUUUGUCCCUAGUACGAGAGGACCGGGAUGAACAUACCUCUGGUGGAGCUGUUGUGGCGCCAGCCGCAGUGCAGCGUAGCUACGUAUGGACGGGAUAACCGCUGAAGGCAUCUAAGCGGGAAACCCACCUCAAAACGAGGUCUCCCUUGAGGGCCGUGGAAGACGACCACGUUGAUAGGCUGGGUGUGCAAGCGCGGUGACGC